AUAACAAUACAGGACUCUUUAGAGGCCCUGUAAUUGGAAUAAGUCCACUUUAAAUCCUUUAACGAGGAUCUUUUGGAUGGCAAGUCUGGUACAGAGCGACUGACCCGU
rnacentral:rRNA from 1 species